rnacentral:rRNA from 1 species
GCAUGCCUAACACAUGCAAGUCGAACGAGACCUUCGGGUCUAGUGGCGCACGGGUGCGUAACGCGUGGGAAUCUGCCCUUGGGUUCGGAAUAACAGUUAGAAAUGACUGCUAAUACCGGAUGAUGACUUCGGUCCAAAGAUUUAUCGCCCAAGGAUGAGCCCGCGUCGGAUUAGCUUGUUGGUGAGGUAAAAGCUCACCAAGGCGACGAUCCGUAGCUGGUCUGAGAGGAUGAUCAGCCACACUGGGACUGAGACACGGCCCAGACUCCUACGGGAGGCAGCAGUGGGGAAUAUUGGACAAUGGGCGAAAGCCUGAUCCAGCAAUGCCGCGUGAGUGAUGAAGGCCUUAGGGUUGUAAAGCUCUUUUACCCGGGAUGAUAAUGACAGUACCGGGAGAAUAAGCCCCGGCUAACUCCGUGCCAGCAGCCGCGGUAAUACGGAGGGGGCUAGCGUUGUUCGNAAUUACUGGGCGUAAAGCGCACGUAGGCGGCUUUGUAAGUUAGAGGUGAAAGCCCAGGGCUCANCCCUGGAAUUGCCUUUAANACUGCAUCGCUUGAACAUCGGAGAGGUAAGUGNAAUUCCNAGUGUAGAGGUGAAAUUCGUANAUAUUCGGAAGAACACCAG